GAGCAUUCCACGGUGUUUCAGUUGCUUCCGUCGGUAAUGUAUUAUCUUGGUGACUAUGCACGUGUUCAGCUGUCCCUUCCUUUACCUGCUGUUCUGAAACCAGAUUUGAAGACAAUAAGGAUAUUUUGCUGGCAAUAGAGACCAGAUCUUGAGGGAGUGCUGAAUUCGUGGCGUUGAAGGUUUCCGAUGGGUUUUUGGUAGCCAAUGUUGAGGGGGCAAGAUGAAUCCAGCCUUGGUUGUUUUUCUUCACCACCGUAGAUAUUCUUUCGGUUGAGAUCAUGCCAUGAGAGAGCAGCUGUUUGGGAGAUGAGGGAAUCCAGAUCCAUCUUUGCGUCUAUUGUAUUGGUUUUCUUGUUUUUGGUUGAGAUGUAAAACAGAAAAGUAGCAACAGUAAGUGCAGGAAAAUGUAAAAACAGCCUCCUAGUUAGAGAGAGUCUGACUUCUCACUAGCCGGCUUUUUUAAGUCAAGAUUUUCAUCGUCAUCACUUACGCAAGAGGGAUUAAUACUCUAUGAAAACGAAAGAGUAUGUAUUCGGCGAUUCACACGUGAAGAUGGUCGGGAUCAUGUUCACAGGUAGGUGAGAAAUCUUGGAAUAAGUUUUGGGUCAAGUUAUAUAUUUAACUUUGACAAAAGGUAAA